GACGAACGCUGGCGGCGUGCUUAACACAUGCAAGUCGAACGCGCCUGUCCUCUGGGUUUCUGGGGGGUGGGUGAGUGGCGAACGGGUGAGUAACACGUGAGUAACCUGCCCCCUUCUUCGGGAUAACGGUCUGAAAGGGCUGCUAAUACCGGGUAUUCACUGGUCUCCGCAUGGGGUCUGGUGGAAAGGUUUUUUUCUGGUGGGGGAUGGGCUCGCGGCCUAUCAGCUUGUUGGUGGGGUGAUGGCCCACCAAGGCUUUGACGGGUAGCCGGCCUGAGAGGGUGACCGGUCACAUUGGGACUGAGAUACGGCCCAGACUCCUACGGGAGGCAGCAGUGGGGAUUAUUGCACAAUGGGCGCAAGCCUGAUGCAGCGACGCCGCGUGAGGGAUGGAGGCCUUCGGGUUGUGAACCUCUUUCGCCCGUGGUCAAGCCGCGACGUGGGUCGUGGUGAGGGUAGUGGGUAAAGAAGCGCCGGCUAACUACGUG
rnacentral:rRNA from 1 species